rnacentral:rRNA from 1 species
AAUCAACGCUGGCGGCGUGCCUAACACAUGCAAGUCGAACGCGAAAGUCCCGCAAGGGAUUAGUAGAGUGGCAAACGGGUGAGUAACACGUGGGUGACCUGCCUUCGAGUGGGGGAUAACGUCCCGAAAGGGACGCUAAUACCGCAUAACAUCCUGCCUUUUAAGAGGUGGAGAUCAAAGCUGGGGACCGUAAGGCCUGGCGCUGGAAGAGGGGCCCGCGUCUGAUUAGCUAGUUGGUGAGGAACGGCUCACCAAGGCAACGAUCAGUAUCCGGCCUGAGAGGGCGGACGGACACACUGGGACUGAGACACGGCCCAGACUCCUACGGGAGGCAGCAGUGGGGAAUUGUUCGCAAUGGGCGCAAGCCUGACGACGCAACGCCGCGUGGAGGAUGAAGACCU